rnacentral:lncRNA from 1 species
GGGGUAUCCUCUUCCAUACUCCAUUUAAAGCAGGGAAAGAAAAAUUCCCUUGCCUCUUGCUCCUGCUGAUGUUUUCUCCUACCUCGUUACUCCCAACAAGGUAGGUGCCCAAAUAUUAUUAUCCCUACACUAGUGUUCUUGAUGCAGGAAGUCAAGCUGUCCGUGAGAUUCAAGCUUCAAGUGUUGAUCCAGUAAAGGUUCCUGUUGGUCUAGUCAUGCGAGUUCAAGCUAAAAAGUUCAAAGACUCACUUCAAGCAUUGGUUCGAGUUGUUCAAGAACAAGAAGGAACUUAUAAGCAUAUUAAAGGGGUUGAGUUGGAGCAUUAAUAUCAACCAACCAAGACUUUGGUUCAUAAUGAAGAUAUUGAUAAAGGAUCCAUUCCAUAAACCAAAUUUGUGAAGUAAAUCUAGUUACUAAUUUGGUGUCAUUUCUUUCACUUAGUUUCUUACCUAGUUAGUCCUUUGUGUUAAGAAUAAAUUGGGCCAACUUGCAUGUAAAUUGGAGCCCUUCUUGUUGCUUAAAUUCUUAGAGUCGUUUGGACCUUUUAUUAGGAGCAUUAAAAUCAAGUAGUUUAAUGUUAAGUUGGGCCAUAAUUAGUUUCUUAGUUAGUUACAUGGUUUAAGUCUUGGCCCGUUUAGCUUAUAACAUGGCUAUAAAUAGUCAAAUUUUAGAAGCUUAAUGGCACGACUAAAUGAAUUUUUCAGUAAUAGUUUC